rnacentral:rRNA from 1 species
GAUGAACGCUGGCGGCGUGCCUAAUACAUGCAAGUCGAGCGAACAGAUGAGGAGCUUGCUCCUCUGACGUUAGCGGCGGGGGGGUGAGUAACGCGUGUAUAACCUACCUAUAAGACUGGGAAAUCUUCGGGAAAGCGGAGCAAAUAGCGGAUAAUAUCUUGAAGCGCAUGGUGGAAUAGAGAGAGACGGUUUUGCUGUAACGUAUAGAUGGAUCCGCGCCGUAUUAGCUAGUUGGUACGGUAACGGCUUAGCAAGGCAACGAUGCGUAGCCGAACUGAGAGGGUGGUCGGCCACACUGGAACUGAGCCACGGACCAGACUACUACGGGAGGCAGCAGUAGCGAAUCUUCCGCAAUGGGCGAAAGUCUGACGCAGCAACGCCGCGUGAGUGAUGGAGGUCUUGCGUUCGUAAAAACCUGUUAUUAGGGAAGAACAACUGUGUAAGUAACCAUGCACGUCUUGACGGUACCUAAUCAGAAAGCCACGGCUAACUACGUG